rnacentral:rRNA from 1 species
UACGAAGGGGGCAAGCGUUGUUCGGAAUUACUGGGCGUAAAGGGCGCGCAGGCGGCCGAUCAAGUCAGAUGUGAAAGCCCCGGGCUCAACCUGGGAAUAGCAUUUGGGACUGGUCGGCUAGAGUUCGGGAGAGGAGAGUGGAAUUCCCAGUGUAGAGGUGAAAUUCGUAGAUAUUGGGAAGAACACCGGUGGCGAAGGCGGCUCUCUGGACCGAUACUGACGCUGAGGCGCGAAAGCGUGGGGAGCAAACAGG